AUGAUAUGCCAAAUGAGCGGGCGCCGUGACCCGAGUCGGAUGUGCACCAAGGACAUGCCUCACGAGGAUGUGGCCUACAUGGUGAACUACCUCUCGGACAGCAAGCUGCUGGAGGACUGGCAGUUCGGCAAGGAGCCGUACUCCCGCGCCAACCCCCCACCUACGAAUCCCCUCCUCCAUCCAGCAGCCGGCACCUCGGGGCCGGCCCGCAAGUUCCUUGCUGACCGGGCGGAGAGUGACGUCGACGACCCUGAUCUGGGGGCGGCGGCUUUGGAAGACGACGCCGAGGGAGGAGGCGGCUCGCGGCUCGGGGCCAGUCUAGAGGACUGGCCUAACGAUGAUGAGGAGGUCGCCCCCCGCCCCCGGCUAGGAGCCAGCCAUCCCGGCGCGGGCUCUUCUGCCGCGCCGGGUGCUCCAGGCGGCAGGAAGAAGUGUAGGGCCGUGCCGACUUUGUUCGGCAGUCGGCAGAAGAAGCCCAAGAGUUCGGCUACGGCGACCCGGUGGGACGAGGCGGCUGCGAAGGCCAUCCACUUCCGCAAGGAAGUGAAGAAGCCGCCACUGGGCUCCCCUCACUCUUGA
rnacentral:rRNA from 1 species